CAAUCGAACUCGGAGAUAGCUGGUUCUCCUCGAAAUAGCUUUAGGGCUAGCCUUGUUUAGUAGCAUGUGGAGGUAAAGCACUGAAUAUGUGAGGGUUCUUACCAGAAUACCGAUCAUUAUCAAACUCUGAAUGCCAUGUGUGUAAGAACAGGAGUCAGACAGUGACAGCUAAGUGCCAUUGUCAAAAGGGAAAGAGCCCAGACCAACAGCUAAGGUCCCAAAAUUGUAGUUAAGUGGAAAAGGAUGUGGGAAUUCAUAGACAACCAGGAUGUUGGCUCAGAAGCAGCCAUUCAUUUAAAGAGUGCGUAAAAGCUCACUGGUCGAAGUAGGCCUGCGCCGAAAAUUACCGGGGCUAAACUACAUACCGAAGCUUUGGAUUUGGUACGUAAAGUAUUAAGUGGUAGAGGAGCGUUGUAUAAAGAUUGAAGCUAUACUGAAAAGAGUAGUGGACGAUAUACAAGAGAGAAUGCCGGAAUAAGUAGCGAGAGCACAGUGAGAAUCUGUGCCGCCGAAAACCUAAGGUUUCCUGGGGAAGGUUCGUCCGCCCAGGGUAAGUCGGGACCUAAGACGAGGCUAAAGCAGCGUAGUCGAUGGAAAGCAGGUAAAAGAUUCCUGCACUACCGAAAUGCGAUAUACAAUAUAUCAUGACGCAUCAGAAGAGUCUAAGCGAGCAAAUGGAAAAGUUCGUACCGCAAGGUGGAGUGAAAAAUAGUAACGAAGUAGAUAAAUCAGGUGACAAGAAAAGUGAUAUAGGAGCAUAGAGGUACUCGUACCGUAAACCGACACAGGUAGGAAGAAAGAGAAUUUUCAGGCGAACGAGAGAAUCAUUGUUAAGGAACUCGGCAAAUUAACCCCGUAACUUAGGGAUAAGGGGAGCCAAUAGCGAUAUUGGUCGCAGAGAAAUGGCCCAAGCAACUGUUUAGCAAAAACACAGGUUUCUGCCAAAUCGAAAGAUGAAGUAUAGGAGCUGACGCCUGCCCAGUGCUGGAAGGUCAAGGGGAAGAGUUAGGGUUAAACCGAAGCUUAGAACCAAAGCCCCAGUGAACGGCGGCCGUAACUAUAACGGUCCUAAGGUAGCGAAAUUCCUUGUCAGGUAAGUUCUGACCCGCACGAAAGGCGUAAUGAUUUGGGCACUGUCUCGACAAUGAACUCGGCGAAAUUGUAGUACUAGUGAAGAUGCUAGUUACCUGUGAUAAGACAGAAAGACCCCAUGGAGCUUUACUGUAGCUUGAUAUUGAGACUAGGUAAGAGAUGUACAGAAUAGAUGGGAGACUAUGAGAUAAGGACGCCAGUUCUUAAGGAGUCACCUUUGGGAUACCAUCCUUCUUUUACUUGGAAUCUAACUAGUUGCCAUGAACUGGUAAUAGGACAGUGUCAGGUGGGCAGUUUGACUGGGGCGGUCGCCUCCUAAAGAGUAACGGAGGCGUUCAAAGGUCAGCUUAACACGGUCAGAAAUCGUGUGAUGACGUGCAAAGGCGUAAGCUGGCUUGACUGCAAGACUGACAGGUCGAGCAGACGCGAAAGCGGGACUUAGUGACCCGAUGGUUGUGAGUGGAAAUGCCAGAGCUCAACGGAUAAAAGUUACCCUGGGGAUAACAGGCUUAUCUCCCCCGAGAGUCCAUAUCGACGGGGAGGUUUGGCACCUCGAUGUCGGCUCAUCGCAUCCUGGAGCGGUAGUACGUUCCAAGGGUUGGGCUGUUCGCCCAUUAAAGCGGUACGCGAGCUGGGUUCAGAACGUCGUGAGACAGUUCGGUCCUUAUCUAUCACAGGCGUAAGAUAUUUGAGAGGAGUUGCCCCUAGUACGAGAGGACCGGGGUGAAGGAACCGAUGGUGCACCAGUUGUAUCACCAGAUGCAUAGCUGGGUAGCCAAGUUCCGAUGGGAUAAACGCUGAAAGCAUAUAAGUGUGAAGCCCACCUCAAGAUUAGAUAUCUCAUGGCGAAAGUCAGUAAGACCCCAAGAAGACUACUUGGUUGAUAGGCUGGAAGUGUAAGUAUAGUAAUAUAUUAAGCGGACCAGUACUAAUAGGUCGAGGGCUUGACCAA
rnacentral:rRNA from 1 species